rnacentral:pre_miRNA from 1 species
GCCACUGCUUGCACCUGCUGCUGGUGCCCAGCACUGGUCCUGAUCACUUGGCACCAUCAGCGGGUGCAAGCGGCGGCUG